GGUUCAUGAAUUCUUUCAUGUUGAACCUGCCCUGACCAGAAGGGAAUUCUCACACCUCAACUCUCUGCACUGCCACUAACCGCAUUACCUCCAUCUUAAAAUCUUGCCUUGUGGGGGAACCUGGCUCAAACUGGAUCCUCAGCCCCCUACUCAGAGACCCAUUGCUGACAUAAGCAGUUGGAGUUAAAUGACUUGCCCAGAGGCACACAACUCUAGGAAAUGUCAAAUGUCUGAGGUGAGAUUCAAAUUCAGUCCUCUUGGCUCUGCUGAGCUUUGCACAGAUUGCUCUAGAAGUAUAUUAAACUUAACAGGGAAUCAGGAGGGGACAGAAAGAAUGGGGGAGAGGAAAUGUAGAUUUAAGGAGAGAUUACUCAUAAGCAAAAAGACUCCUGGCAUUUGAACAAUAUGGUAGACCCACAGAAUUGUGCUCUCUCCAGUAGAGUCAGAAUGCUUGGCAGUUUAGUUCUAAAAAGGACUUCUUAUCCUGCUGGCUGAUCUUCAGCUAGCUCAGUGUUUGAGAUGCUCCAAAGUAAAAUGUGGGAGACGAGAGAUAUUAGAUUGACUAAACUGAAGAUCUACAGAACUGUUAUGUUGACCUCAUUGUUAUAUUCCUGUGAAUACUGGACAGUAUACUAGUGCCAUCCCAGGAAAUUGAAUUGCUUCUAUUUGAAUUGUCUCAGGAAAAAAAGGAAUGAAAGAAUAGAUAAGAACCUGUGACCUAAUACUGAGCAAAUGAAAGAGGAAUAAUAAUUGCAUCAAAUAUAGAUCAAUAGUAUUGCACAUAUUCCUUUUUUCAAUAUCAUCUUCUUCAUUGUGAAAAUGAGAGGUAGGGGUAGAAAGAGGAAAAGUAUGAAAAGAAAUAAUAAAGAAAAAAAUUUAAUUCACAAUUUUAACGUGAACAUGAAUGGGGUGAACUCACUUAUAAGACAGAAGAAAGAAGAAGACUGGAUUAGAAAGCAGAAUUUAAAAAUUUGUUAUUUAUUAAAAAUAUACUUUAAACAAAAAAAAUGAAACACAGUGGUACCUAGGUACUCAUUUGCUUUGAAACUUGUUGAAUUUGGUAUUCAAAUGCAUCAGCACUUGAUGCUUGCUCAGCCCUUUUCUUACUAGUUUGUUGUCGAUUGAGCAAUAGGGAUGUGAGGUUGG